GAAGGUAUAGCUCAGAGGUAGAACACAUGCUUGGCAUGCAUGAGGUCCCGGUUCAAUCCCCAGUACCUCCA
rnacentral:tRNA from 1 species